ACUGUCUCCUACGUCUAGAUCUGACUAGCGCCGUCUCCUUCGUCCGUCCGGAACCAUCUCUGUCCCGACUAUGGGGAUCCGCCUGCGGCCACCUCCUUCCCUGUCCACGACGCUCAUCACGCUCGUGGUUGGCUCCCUAUUCGUGAUCUCGUCAACCAUGCGCGAAGACCUCCACCCCCGCAGCUCCUCCCUAGUCCGCAACGGCGCUUCAGAUCUAUGGCCUCGAUCCGGAUCUCCUCCCUUUGCUCGACGGCAGCACUGUAGCUGCGGCUCUGAAGGUGGAGCUUCAUCUCCUUGGUUCAUCCCAACGGGGCUGCUUCCAUAGAGGCGAGGCGGUGGCGGUGAAUCAUGGCUGUCGCCUCGGCGGCCUCCUCCGUGCCGUCCAGCGAUCUGGUGUGGUCCCAGCAUGGCCCCUGAUGGUGCAGGUGGUGGCUAGCUUGUCCACACAGAACAAGAUCUGGAGGGCAUCAUCCAUCACCAUGUCGUGCCCACUCAGAAACAAUUAACAUUUCGUGAAGCUGUUGCUUUUGUGUUCUUUGAUCGACAAGCAUCUACAAGUUGGUGAGGCACCUACCACCUGGGAGCAAUUGGCCUACACUGAGCUGAGAGGAAAGGAAGCAGAUGUAUUUCCAUUUAUUUUGUAAAGCAAGCGUCACAUUUUCAUAGUUCUCGUAGAUACUAUAUGUAACACUUACAAUUUAACAGACUGUUAUGUAUUUUGAUCGUGAGAACUUCCUGUGAAGUGUGAAAUCUGUGUACUGCUGUGAAAUAUACUAUAUUGUGAAACA